CCUACGGGGGGAUGCAGUGGGGAAUAUUGCACAAUGGGGGAAACCCUGAUGCAGCGACGCCGCGUGAGUGAAGAAGUAUCUCGGUACGUAAAGCUCUAUCAGCAGGGAAGAAAAUGACGGUACCUGACUAAGAAGCCCCGGCUAACUACGUGCCAGCAGCCGCGGUAAUACGUAGGGGGCAAGCGUUAUCCGGAUUUACUGGGUGUAAAGGGAGCGUAGACGGCAGUGUAAGUCUGUAGUGAAAUCCCGGGGCUUAACCCCGGAACUGCUUUGGAAACUGUGCGGCUGGAGUGCAGGAGGGGUAAGCGGAAUUCCUAGUGUAGCGGUGAAAUGCGUAGAUAUCAGGAGGAACACCGGUGGCGAAGGCGGCAUACUGGACUGUAACUGACGUUGAGGCUCGAAAGCGUGGGGAGCAAACAGGAUUAGAUACCCGUGUAGUC
rnacentral:rRNA from 1 species